UGGGGAAUAUUGGACAAUGGGCGCAAGCCUGAUCCAGCCAUGCCGCGUGAGUGAAGAAGGCCUUAGGGUUGUAAAACUCUUUCGCCGGGGAAGAUAAUGACGGUACCCGGAGAAGAAGCUCCGGCUAACUUCGUGCCAGCAGCCGCGGUAAUACGAAGGGAGCUAGCGUUGUUCGGAAUUACUGGGCGUAAAGCGCACGUAGGCGGACUUGUCAGUCAGGGGUGAAAUCCCAAGGCUCAACCUUGGAACUGCCUCCGAUACAGCAAGCCUAGAGAUCGGGAGAGGUGAGUGGAAUUCCUAGUGUAGAGGUGAAAUUCGUAGAUAUUAGGAAGAACACCAGUGGCGAAGGCGGCUCACUGGCCCGAUACUGACGCUGAGGUGCGAAAGCGUGGGGAGCAAACAGGAUUAGAUACCCAAGUAGUCCCUGAGCGGGCUGGCAAGGCGCAU
rnacentral:rRNA from 1 species